rnacentral:rRNA from 1 species
CACGUAGGGCGCAAGCGUUGUCCGGAAUUAUUGGGCGUAAAGAGCUCGUAGGUGGUCUGUUGCGUCCGCUGUGAAAUCCCGGGGCUUAACCCCGGGCGUGCAGUGGAUACGGGCAGGCUGGAGGCAGGCAGGGGAGAACGGAAUUCCCGGUGUAGCGGUGAAAUGCGCAGAUAUCGGGAGGAACACCGGUGGCGAAGGCGGUUCUCUGGGCCUGUACUGACGCUGAGGAGCGAAAGCGUGGGGAGCGAACAGG